CGAAAGCGUGGGGAGCAAACAGGAUUAGAUACCCUGGUAGUCCGCACGGUAAACGAUGGAUGCCCGCUGUUGGUCUGAAUAGGUCAGCGGCCAAGCGAAAGCAUUAAGCAUCCCACCUGGGGAGUACGCCGGCAACGGUGAAACUCAAAGGAAUUGACGGGGGCCCGCACAAGCGGAGGAACAUGUGGUUUAAUUCGAUGAUACGCGAGGAACCUUACCCGGGCUUGAAUUGCAGAGGAAGGAUUUGGAGACAAUGACGCCCUUCGGGGUCUCUGUGAAGGUGCUGCAUGGUUGUCGUCAGCUCGUGCCGUGAGGUGUCGGCUUAAGUGCCAUAACGAGCGCAACCCCUCUCCUUAGUUGCCAUCAGGUUAAGCUGGGCACUCUGGGGACACUGCCACCGUAAGGUGUGAGGAAGGUGGGGAUGACGUCAAAUCAGCACGGCCCUUACGUCCGGGGCUACACACGUGUUACAAUGGCAGGUACAGAGAGACGGUCCCUUGCAAAAUGGAUCAAAUCCUUAAAGCCUGUCUCAGUUCGGACUGGGGUCUGCAACCCGACCCCACGAAGCUGGAUUCGCUAGUAAUCGCGCAUCAGCCAUGGCGCGGUGAAUACGUUCCCGGGCCUUGUACACACCGCCCGUCAAGCCAUGAAAGCCGGGGGCGCCUAAAGUCCGUGACCGUAAGGAGCGGCCUAGGGCGAAACUGGUAAUUGGGGCUAAGUCGUAACAAGGUAGCCGUACCGG
rnacentral:rRNA from 17 species